rfam:Acetothermia bacterium 64_32 S_OP1_64_33_7, whole genome shotgun sequence.
CUGAAAAAGGGCAAACCCAUCGCAAGGUGGGGGCGCAAAGCUGCGGGCCCUAGGAAUGGGUAGCCGGGCUGCCAGGG